GGGAGCGACUUGGCUUCGACAGGAGUAAGUCUGCUUAGAUGGCAUGUCGCUUUGGACAAAGCGUAAAAAGUCCAAAUUAAAAUUAAACGCAAAUAACGUUAAAUUUGCUCCUGCUUACGCUAAAGCUGCGUAAGUUCAGUUGAGCCCGAAAUUUAAGUCAUACUAUCUAGCUUAAUUUUCGGUCAUUUUUGAUAGUGUAGCCUUGCGUUUGACAAGCGUUGAGGUGAAAUAAAGUCUUAGCCUUGCUUUUGAGUUUUGGAAGAUGAGCGAAGUAGGGUGAAGUAGUCAUCUUUGCUAAACAUGUAGAAGUCUUUGUGGGGUUAUUUUUGGACAGGGGUUCGAUUCCCCUCGCUUCCACCA
rnacentral:tmRNA from 1 species